rnacentral:rRNA from 1 species
AGAGUUUGAUCCUGGCUCAGGACGAACGCUGGCGGCGUGCUUAACACAUGCAAGUCGAACGAUGAAGCUGGAGCUUGCUCUAGCGGAUUAGUGGCGAACGGGUGAGUAACACGUGAGCAAUCUGCCCUUGACUCUGGGAUAACUGCGGGAAACUGUAGCUAAUACCGGAUACUUUCACCGGAAGGCAUCUUUUGGUGAUGAAAGAAUUUCGGUCAAGGAUGAGCUCGCGGCCUAUCAGCUUGUUGGUGAGGUAACGGCUCACCAAGGCGACGACGGGUAACCGGCCUGAGAGGGUGACCGGUCACACUGGGACUGAGACACGGCCCAGACUCCUACGGGAGGCAGCAGUGGGGAAUAUUGCACAAUGGGCGCAAGCCUGAUGCAGCAACGCCGCGUGAGGGAUGAAGGCCUUCGGGUUGUAAACCUCUUUUAGCAGGGAAGAAGCGAAAGUGAC